rnacentral:RNase_P_RNA from 2 species
GGGAGAGAGAGCCCGGCCGCCGCGAUGGUCGCACCGGCAACGGCGCGGCCACCUAGUGCGGGCCGCCCCUCCGGGGUGCCCCGCGCUCUACCGUUGCCCGUCCCUCCAGGACGCGCAACGCUCAUAACGUGAUCCGUCCCUUCGGGACGCAUCACGCUCGCGAGGAAAGUCCCCCCACCUGUUCGGGCAGGUGACCGGACGCAAGUCCGGAGCGGGAGACCGCUGGCUCUGGAACAGAAACGACACGUCUCGGCCCGACCCAUGACGCGUGCGAACCCGACCGAGAGGAAGGGGAGUUGACCCGCAGAGGGAACGCGUGGGCGCUUUGCGCCCACGUUACGUGAGGCGGUGGGAACCGCCGAACGGGCGAGCGGCGGACGCCGCGAGCCGUGUGCGGUCGUCAAACCGUGGUUCGAAUCCACGGGUCACGAGCGCGGUUCGGAGCGCCCUCGGCGCGAGAACCGCGAACGUCGUGAUCGACCGCACACCGACGGCCGAGGAGCGAUGGAACGGCGAACCCUCACCGGUGCAAGUCCGCGCCGUGGUAGCCCGAACGCCCCGCGGCACCGCCGCGGACGGCGUGGACGCUCAGCCGAAUGCCGGGCCGAACAGAAGGGGGCUUACUCCUCUCACCC